UACGAAGGGGGCUAGCGUUGUUCGGAAUUACUGGGCGUAAAGCGUGCACAGGCGGCUUCUCAAGUCAGGGGUGAAAGCCCAGAGCUCAACUCUGGAAUUGCCUUUGAGACUGAGUGGCUUGAGUACGAGAGAGGUGAGUGGAAUUCCCAGUGUAGAGGUGAAAUUCGUAGAUAUUGGGAAGAACACCGGUGGCGAAGGCGGCUCACUGGCUCGUAACUGACGCUCAUGCACGACAGCGUGGGGAUCAAACAGG
rnacentral:rRNA from 1 species